rnacentral:lncRNA from 1 species
AUGGGAAGGGUUAGGUGAAAACGAUAAGGAAGUGAAAGGAUAAGUAAAAGUAUGAAAGAAUGUUGUUAAGGUUAAGCAUGGGUGGGAAAGCAUAUAGAGAGUCUAAGGAAAGUAGGUGGGGUAAGUAGUCCACGCUAGGUAUCCAUAGGAGAUGUGGCGAAUCCACAUGAAUAUGGAAGCACCCAUAGGAGAUGUGGCCAAUCCACAUGAAUAUGGGGUAGAAGCCUAGUGGGGGGCUACCCACUGAGGAAAAGAGGAAAAGAUGAAAAGAUGAAAAGAUGAAAAGGAUAUGCAUUGUAGGGUUCUAGCUCAUGGUCGGGUACAGGAAGUUAAAGAAGUCAUAGGAUCGAGUCGGACUGGUAAGAUGAGUCGGUUAAGUCUAGGGAUGGCGUGUGUGGCAAUGAGUGAGAUCAUUGUAUUGAUUGAUUACUAGGUUGUUAGAAAUGAAUGGAAGUGUGUGUAGAAAUUACAGAUGGUGAUAGGAAAUGAUAAAAUGCAUUAACGGAUUGUAGUGGCUAGUCAGUCCUAGUUCCCGCAUAGAGUAGUAUAGAGUGUCGUGCGGGCAGGCUGGUCUAGAGCCACUUCACUGAGUAACUUGUUGCUCACCCCCUCCAUUUCCAUUUUUUCCCUGUGCGCAGGACUGUAAGUAGAAGUAUAUGGAUGUGGGUGUGACGGUAUUUCAAAGAAGGUUAUGCGCUCGUCUCUCGGGACCAGUAACGGGACACGUAGGGUUGUCUAAAUGAGUAGACACGUGUCCAUAACGCCCCUUCGAUAACCCCGGUCGGACGCCGGGGGAUCGGGCUGUUACAAUUGGUAUCAGAGCGGGUUAAGAUCCCUUAGUUCCGUCCUAAGGGAUCAGCAUUUCCGACGUUUAAAAAAAAAAAAAAAAUUGUUUUCAUUAAAAGAAAAGAGUUUGUGAAAGUUUUGAUUCUCCUAAAAGUUCUGAAAACGAUUUCAAAACCACCCACUAUAUUUAUACUUCUAGUAUGGUUCUGAUCGGAUGUCUACUUGAAGGAUGUCUUCGACAAUCAGUAACGACCAGAGUGACAAUUACGGGUAUCGUGGACCUGCAUGGUGGAACUCGAUCUACACUCGGACUCAGCGCACCAUAAAGGAAAAUGUGGUACCCUAUCGGUGACGCCCAUUGACGAAGUUUCAUCGCCAGACACAUGAGUUGGAGUGGUUGGAGAAAAACCAGAGAUGGAAACCCGACUAAUGUAACUACCGAGAACGUGAAGGUUGUGGCGGAUAUCAUGGGUUUAGAGGAACAUUAGAGGUGCAAUGAAACAAGAUGAAGUCAUAGGUCAAUGAAGGUAUUUUCCGAGGAAGGACAUAUAUCUAAUGGAGGGCUAGUUCUAGGAUAUCCGCCAGAGAGACAUGAUUGGAAGGGAAUACAAUAAGGAUGUAACCCCUGAGGAGAUUUAUCGGGCUACCUGGAUAGGACCGAGGGAGUAUAGAGAAUGAUAACCAUGGGAGUGUAUGUGGUACUGUUAAUACCUCUCGACGGUGUGAACCUGCAUGGAGACCUGCUGGAGUUGGAGUUUGGAAUGAUAUGAAGUGACAGAAUUUUGGGAUGCGUAUUUAGAGAUGUAGCAGUGUUCGGGGAUGUUGCAGUAUGUUAGGAAUAGUAUCAUGGCUUAGCGAGAAUCUAUACAGAGGUCAAAGAUUAAUGAAUAGGAAGGGAGCUAGGAAAGAAGACCGGGGCCAAGCACAUGGAGUUAAUAUAUUGUAUUGGCACGUACUCAUAAUCCUCGAUAGGAGAGGAGAGUAGUCCUUAAUGGAAUAAGGAUUAGGACAUGGAUAUAAGCUAUCUUGAUGUUGAAAGCUGAAGGGUUAAGUGGAAAGGAAAAUGAUUUGUAUUUGGAAGUGAAAGCUCUAAGUAUUGGAUAUCCCCUAUGAGAACUAUAUGAACAAUCAUGUUGAAUCCCUUAUGCUGGACCAAAGUGGGGGAGAUCAGAAUCUCGAGCCUGAGAUGAUCCAUGAAACCGCUUAGCAGAUAUAAUUGUUGAUGAUGAGCUGCUUUAUUAAAGGAUAGAAGAGGUACAUGACCAUCAGAGAAUUACGUCGACAAGAGUGGUGGUGAUAUGGAAAUGCAUAUGAGAAGGAAGCAAUCUAGGGAUGAGAACGCUGUUGGGGAAUCGAUUUGGGAUUUAAGAGGACGUUGGAUCUCCGUGAGGAAUAUGGAACCUGGUCUGUUGCAUGAACUAUUAGAUUUCAAAGGACGAGUUGUUUACCCAUUUUGGUUCGGGAUGUUAAAGUUGGAGUAUCGACACACGGAAUUCGGGGACGAAUUCCAUUCAAGUGGGGGAGAAUUGUAACGGCCCGGUUCCUAGCCCAAAAAUUUAUUAAGGAGAGCCCGUUAAGACUGCAGUCCAUUAGGGUAAAUGACCUAGGGUUUCCUCCUUUUCCUAUAAAUGAAGCUGCCUCCUCUCACUUUUCUCUCAUCCUGAAACCUAAGCGAAGCUCUGCAGAGAUUUAGAGAGACUAGGAAACCCUAGCCGUCAAGCUUCUCUUUUCCUUUUCUCUCUUCUUCUCUCAAGCCUCUCUCUCUCCCCUGCGCCGUGUCUCUCUCUCUCCUUCUCUCUCUCUCUCCUUCUCUCUCUCCUCUCUCCCUCCUCCUCGCCGGUGUCAUGUGGUGGUGGUGGUUGCAGCCGAUUGGUGGUGGUGGUCAGAUCUCGCAGCUCUUUUGUUUCCUUGUUCCAGAUCUGUUCAGAUCUCCUCUCCCUUGCCUCUUGUUCCACAUCCAGAUCUAGGCUAAGGUGGAGUGUUUCGAACCCAACCUUCUUUCAUGGUCCUGUAUACUCCUAUAUGUUGGGGUUAGGUUUGAUUAGACCCUGUUUGGGAGUUAGGUUGAUAGUACAUGGUAUUGCUAGGAUGAUAGAUGAAUGGAUCAUGAUGCAUAAGAACCCUCAUAUUGAUAAAUGGGACUUGAUGAACUGAAUUGAAUUGUUGUGGUAAUGGCUGAUUGGUAGUUGAUUCUUGUAUGUUUGGUUGUGUUGUCCCAUGUGUGGUUGUGAUUGAAGUUAGGAUGCUAGAGAGAAAUAAAUGCUAGGAUGAUAGAUGAGCAAUGAUUAUAAAAGUUAUUGAAGUAGAACUUGAAUGCAAUGUGUAUUGUGUGACACCGAUAACGGGUGGCGUCUAGUGAUUGAGUCCAAGUACAAGUAGGAAUGAAAAGGGAAGUAAUUGGGAAUGGGAAGGGUUAGGUAAAAACGAUAAGGAAGUGAAAGGAUAAGUAAAAGUAUGAAAGAAUGUUGUUAAGGUUAAGCAUGGGUGGGAAAGCAUAUAGAGAGUCUAAGGAAAGUAGGUGGGGUAAGUAGUCCACGCUAGGUAUCCAUAGGAUAUGUGGCGAAUCCACAUGAAUAUGGAAGCACCCAUAGGAGAUGUGGCCAAUCCACAUGAAUAUGGGGUAGAAGCCUAGUGGGGGGCUACCCACUGAGGAAAAGAGGAAAAGAGGAAAAGAUGAAAAGAUGAAAAGAUGAAAAGGAUAUGCAUUGUAGGGUUCUAGCUCAUGGUCGGGUACAGGAAGUUAAAGAAGUCAUAGGAUCGAGUCGGACUGGUAAGAUGAGUCGGUUAAGUCUAGGGAUGGCGUGUGUGGCAAUGAGUGAGAUCAUUGUAUUGAUUGAUUACUAGGUUGUUAGAAAUGAAUGGAAGUGUGUGUAGAAAUUACAGAUGGUGAUAGGAAAUGAUAAAAUGCAUUAACGGAUUGUAGUGGCUAGUCAGUCCUAGUUCCCGCAUAGAGUAGUAUAGAGUGUCGUGCGGGCAGGCUGGUCUAGAGCCACUUCACUGAGUAACUUGUUGCUCACCCCCUCAAUUUCCAUUUUUUCCCUGUGCGCAGGACUGUAAGUAGAAGUAUAUGGAUGUGGGUGUGACGGUAUUUCAAAGAAGGUUAUGCGCUCGUCUCUCGGGACCAGUAACGGGACACGUAGGAAUGUCUAAAUGAGUAGACACGUGUCCAUAACGCCCCUUCGAUAACCCCGGUCGGACGCCGGGGGAUCGGGCUGUUACAUGAAGUAUCACCGUUAUAACCCUGUAGAGACCAAUACAACAAGCAUCAGAGAGUAAACCUAGUGAAGGAUUGUGAAACACGCAAAAGAAGACAACUUACGUUUAAGUAAACCGUGACAUCAAUGUUGAUUAUAUCUCCAUCCUGCAAAGUUCAAACAUGGAUACAACAUUUUAUUAACGAUUCACAAGUAAAAGACACUCAAACACACACACAAACACACCUCAAGUGGUCGUGAAUCAGGGAUGCCAUGGCAAAUGCAUUAUGCAUUCACUGACAGAAGUGCAAACACUUUUAGGGAAACCUCCAUAGCCAAGUGGAGAAGGAUAAGCUCCAUUCUCUAUAAUCAUACUGUGAACCGCUUCAUCAAUCUCAUCCGUGGUUACACCUGGCUGUCUCUCAAAACAGAAAACAAAACAAAACUGAUGAUUGUUCUGUAAGAGUGGGAAAACAAUUAAAAGUAUCCGCAAAAAAAAAACAAAAAAAAAACACAUUUCAUAAAAAAACACAUUUUUCGGUCAAACCAAUAAAACCGCACUCUUCGACCAAAACGGUAAAAACGAACUUUCAUGUCAAAAUCGUAAAAACGCAUUUUCCCGGCAAACCGCAAAAUAGCAAAAAUGCAUUUUCCUGCCAAAACCGCAAAAACACAUAUUCUCGCAAAAACAGAAAAAACGCAUAUCUCGCCAAAACCGCAAAAAUGCAUUUUUCCGCCAAAACCGCAAAAAACGCAUUUUUCCGCCAAAACCGCAAAAUACAUUUUUUCUCCAAAAUCGGAAAACAUAUUUUCCCGCCAAAACCGGAAAAAACAAUUUUCCACCAAAACCGGUAAACGCAAUUUUCCCGCCUAAACCGAAAAACGCAAUUUUCCCGCCAAAAUCGAAAAAAAACAGUUUCCCGCCAAAACCACAAAAAUGCAUGUUCCCGCCAAAACAUGCAAAACCGUAUUUUCCUGUCAAAACCACAAAAAUGCAUUUUUCGUGAAAACACAUUUUCGGCAAAAACUGCAAAAAAAUAUUUUCUGCCGAAAACGCAAAAAUACAAUUUUUCCGUUAAAAAUGUAGCAAUGCACAUUUUCUAUCAAAAGCGCGAAAAUGCAUUUUUCUGCCAAAACCAUAAAAAUGUUAUUUUUCUAUCAAAACCUAAAAAAUAUAUUUUAAUCAUUUUAUUAA